rnacentral:rRNA from 1 species
CCUACGGGUGGCAGCAGUAGGGAAUAUUGCGCAAUGGGCGAAAGCCUGACGCAGCAACACCGCGUGAAGGAUGAAGUAUUUCGGUAUGUAAACUUCUUUUGGCAGGGACGAAUUUUGACGGUACCUGCAGAAUAAGCAUCGGCUAACUACGUGCCAGCAGCCGCGGUAAUACGUAGGAUGCAAGCGUUGUCCGGAUUUAUUGGGCGUAAAGAGUUCGUAGGCGGUUUAUUAAGUCUGGUGUCAAAUCCCGAAGCUCAACUUCGGAUCGGCAUUGGAAACUAGUAGGCUAGAGUGCAGUAGAGGUCACGGGAAUUCUCGGUGUAGCAGUGAAAUGCGUAGAUAUCGAGAGGAACACCAGCGGCGAAAGCGCGUGACUGGGCUGUUACUGACGCUGAGGAACGAAAGCCAGGGUAGCGAAAGGGAUUAGAUACCCGUGUAGUC